GGUUGCGUCUCCAUGUUCCAUCAAAACAGGAAAAGGAAGGUGAAUCAUCUUUCAAAAAUUAAUCUACCCGGCGCAUUUCAAAAGGGCAGACGAAGUAGCCUCUGAUGGAGUGGCUAUGGCUUUUUAGUCACCGCUGGAGAAGCGAGAGGAAAACCAGACGCCUCAUAACUAGAAUACUCGUUCCGUCGAGUGGCAGAAAUUGAUCAACAUGCGUGGAUCUCCCUAGCUUCUUACGAAAUGAGGUAAUGAUACCGGUCUGAUGUUUGACUCUGUGUCUCCAGAAUCUUCACCACAAUGCUUGGCACAUGCUGGACAAGAAACCUCACAGAGACCUGGGGACCCAAUGGAAGCCAAGUACUAUCGGCUAUACUUAUCAAACCAAGUCACUCAGUUCUUAAUCCUAUCCACUAAUUUGCAAAGAUCUGUUAUUUUGUUGUUACUUUAUAAAUGUACACUUAGGUAAAGGUCAUCAUCAAUGGUUAUAGAAGUGAACUCAUGGACCUUACUUGAUAAUAAUGAAUUUGUUUUGAUGGACUUCUUAUCACAUUUGAUUGAUAGUUAUCGCUUUACCUUGCAAUAUGAAAAAGAACUCUAGGAGCAAAGUAUGAGUUCUACUUUUUCGUAUUUCCUUAUGUUU